GGGACUGUGGCUCAGUGGAAGAACAUCUGCUUAUCAUGCAGAAGGUCCCUGGUUCGGUCCCUGGCAGCUCCA